rnacentral:rRNA from 1 species
UACAGAGGUCUCAAGCGUUGUUCGGAUUCAUUGGGCGUAAAGGGUGUGUAGGUGGCGCGCUAAGUCGGGUGUGAAAUUUUCGGAGCUUAACUCCGAAACUGCAUUCGAUACUGCCGUGCUUGAGGACUGGAGAGGAGACUGGAAUUUACGGUGUAGCAGUGAAAUGCGUAGAGAUCGUAAGGAAGACCAGUGGCGAAGGCGGGUCUCGUGGACAGUUCCUGACACUGAGGCACGAAGGCCAGGGGAGCGAAACGGG